rnacentral:lncRNA from 1 species
GUUAAAUAAUAACUGAGUGGACUUUAUUUUAAUUUGCCAUUGUUCGUGAAGACAGUCAUUAGUUUUAAAUGUGAUUAGACAACCCUCCACAGAAGCCUUUGGGAACAAAAUUAAAACCAGAAUUUGCAUUUUGGAGUAUGCACCAUUAAACAGUUCAACUCUUCAGUUGAUCUCUUUUUAAAAAUCAGUUGUUCAGCAUCUGUGGAAUCUGACUGUGAUGUGGUCAGGGACAGAAUGGGACUAAAAUGAGAAUAACCAUGCCAGACUCUUCAGGACACAACCUGGCUAUGGGAGGCUGAUUGUGUUUGCAUGGAGACACUAACUCCAAGUGGAUGGAUGACACCAGCUGCUCUGAAGUGCUCUGUACUUUUCUCUAGUUCAUUUCCAAACGGGGCCAAUUUCAAAAUUACAAUUGAAAAAGAGUAACUUGAAACAGAUACUCCCAGCCAUGCCCUUGCCUCAAGACAUCUGCCAUCUCCCUGGCCUCUGAGGCAGGGUGGGAAGACACCGCCACCCCAUUCCAUAGGUGAAGAGCUCUUUCAUGGGGUACAUGGGCAUCCCACUCCUUGCUCGGCUCAGCACAAGCUCAGCAUUGCCAGAGAGAAGAACUGGAAGACAGAGACAAACAAAACAACAACUGAUAGGUGGGUGCUUGUGAUAAGUUAAAGAUAGGAAACCAGGGAACGCUGUGGGCUGCCACCCCAGGGGCUUGGUCGCCACCAAGAGUGAAGGAGGAACAACAGGGACAGGAUGUGCACCAGAGUCCCCAUCGCCAGCCUAAGCAGGAGCACAGGAGGAACAGCGUUUGAUGCUUUCCUACAAGAGGCUGAAGAAGGAAACAAGUUGCUGAGGUUUUGAAGAAUCGUGGGUCGCAUUUCCUUGGAUCAGCUAAGCCCCAAACAGAUCCCUAAAGCAACUGGGCUUCUGGUCCUAUUUCACCUUCAAAGAGAAUCAAUCCUGCCCUUCCAUCCUGAACAGUCUUCUAGGCUCAAGCACUCUGAAUUUUCCUAUCGUGGCUGGAGCUAUCGAUGUGGUGCUAGUCUCACUCUCUUUGUCAACCACUCUUGUGCAUUUAUUAAUACAAACUUAUUAUUUUUUCCUAACUUAGUUUUUAACGUGAUUACAUUCACAGAUUUUUAAAAAGUUGAUCUGCUCUUGAAUUCCUGGUUUUAUUCUAUGUAAUUAUCAGUAUUUUUUUUCAGAAAUGGUCUCUUUUUAUUUGAAUGGUUGAUCUAGGACUCAGCCUAAAUAUUAUUCUAAUACGUAGCUGUACAUAACCAACAUGUCUAUGAUGUUAGUGAUGAACCAGAACAAACACAGAGAUGGUCUUUGCCUGAUAAAAGAUAAUCACAAUCUGAAAUCAUAAACAAAUAAGCAAACAAGCAUAAGUCUUAGAAAAGAAUAAAUCAAUUUUUAAAUGAAUGAAUUUAGUGCUGUCAGGGAAUAAUAACAACGUGUCAGCAAACCUUGGCAACCAUUGGAAUCCCGUUUCUGAAAAUUACAGUGUAGUGUAAAGUAGAAAAUAACAACGAUGGUUUUUAACUCAUAUGAAACAUAGAAAAAAUUAAAAAACAAACUAGAUUUAUUGGUUUUAAGGAAAAGAAGCCAGAACAACUACCAGAAUA